CUGCUAUCUUUGGCAGCACACAUACUAAAAUUGGAAUGAUACAGAGAAGACUACCAUGGCCCCUGUGUAAGGAUGACACACAAAUUCGUGGAGGGGGAAUCCUUUUU